CUUUUCUUUCAACGAAAAAUGUCUAUUUCUUAAGACUGGAAUUUGAGGAUUUAAAAUCGCUUUGCGCUCGUUUUAUUUUAUCUUCUGCUGGAGAAAGGCUUUAUUUAAUAAACAGUGAAAAGGAUCAACUUCUCAAAUCAUAAUUGGCUCCAACAGAUCUAAAUAAAACACGAAUAUUUGUCCAACACGCUUUCCUAAGCCAUUCAUCUAAUUGCCGGAAAACCUGUAUUCUGGCUUUGUCGGUGAAUUCACGGAGGAAAGUUUUCAGGCGCAGAACGCGCGGAAGCGGUUCGCCGCGUCGCGUUGUCGGAGUCGAAUGGCUGUAGUUGACUCUCGACGCUCUACAACCCCUGUCUACAGCGCUACUAGCAGUCCUUGUGAUAUUAUUUGUCGACUUUUCACUAUAAACUUAUUAAUUAUCAUUCACAGAGGGCACGCGGGCCGUCACAUAAUAGCAAAGUUACUACAUUUCAAAAGUUUUCGUCUCUAGUUCGGGCUUAUUUGUGUUGUGAUAUUUAUAGUCUCAGGUCUCUAAGCACCAAUUGAUUAAUAAGUUGGAUCUGCUGGAUUUAUAACAAAAAUAGCCUAUUUAAUUAAUACUACUAUUGAAUUUCAAUAUUUUUCAAAGUAAAGUAGUGAAAAGCUAACAUAAUCUAAUGAAAAUCUAAAAUAAUAUCUACCUACAUACAUUAAAAAGAAAUUCUUAUUUUUAUAUGCAUAAAACUUUAUUUUUAAUACUUUUGUAGCCCAACGAGCAUAAGGCCCAUCUGAUGGUUAGUGGUUGCUGUAGCUUACGAACAUCAUCAAUAACAGAAGAGGAAACUUGAAACGGCUGCCUUUUUAUGAACUUCUACUAAAAAUUUUGUUUAUUUUUGGUCGUUUAUUGAUUAAAUUAAAAAAUAUAUUUUUCAUUAUGGUAAAUAACAUUUGAUCCAGGAAACGCCGCGUAUAUCUGCUACAAUAAAUACGGCAGAGUGCUCAGUAUUUCUUUCGUUAUUAUACGCACCAAUGAAUCCGCAAGCUGACGGCAGUUUAUAAACCGGAAUGUGACAAACUACUCUCUUUAUCCCGGGAAAAUGCAACGUGUUUCAUUUGUUAAAAAUUAAUCGCGAGUUAAGCCGCGGGGUACGUCUAGUUUUUAGAUAAAUAUACAUAGUAUCAAUGAAAUUACCUAAGUAAAGGAGAAUGUUCUUUAUCAUAUUGUAGUGAAAUAUCAUCAUUUUAAAAUAACUAAAUUGCUCAUUAUUUCAUAUUAAAUAUAUUUAACAUCUAUAAACAUGUUAACAACAACUAUAAACCUUUUAAACGAAAUAUAAUUUUCAUAAAAUG